UGCGUUGGCCCGGUCCUUUCGGCACCGGAUUCCUCAGCCCCCAGCCCCCCGGGGUCGUCGGGAUCGGGCCUGUUCGCAA
rnacentral:ncRNA from 1 species